GUGAGGAAUAUUGCACAAUGGACGAAAGUCUGACGCAGCCAUGCCGCGUGAAGGAUUGACGGCCCUAUGGGUUGUAAACUUCUUUUGUAUAGGAAUAAACCCUCGUUCGUGAACGAGGCUGAAGGUACUAUAAGAAUAAGCACCGGCUAACUCCGUGCCAGCAGCCGCGGUAAUACGGAGGGUGCAAGCGUUAUCCGGAUUUAUUGGGUUUAAAGGGUCCGUAGGCGGAUCGUUAAGUCAGUGGUGAAAUCCUACCGCUCAACGGUAGAACUGCCAUUGAUACUGGCGAUCUUGAGUAUGUAUGAAGUUGGCGGAAUGUGUGGUGUAGCGGUGAAAUGCUUAGAUAUCACACAGAACACCGAUUGCGAAGGCAGCUGACUAAUACACAACUGACGCUGAGGGACGAAAGUGUGGGGAUCAAACAGGAUUAGAAACCCCAGUAGUCC
rnacentral:rRNA from 1 species